AGAAAUAAACUUCUGAUCAUGAUAAAAGAACUUGUUUUAUCCGAUCUUUAUCUAACUUUUCAUAUUCAAAAUCAUAAUGGGAUAUAUAUUUAAAUACUCGAUAUACCUGUAUGUAGGAAUACAAUUUGUAGAAAUUCAACACUAUACAAUAUGAAUAAUUUGGCAACCGAACUCAAUACUGAAGGAUAAUUCCCAAUCAAUGAGAAAAGGAAGAAUUUGGCAACAGGUGUGAGGAUAACGAUCUUUUCUGAUACAUUUCAAUCGCUUAUGACAGUUAGGAUAUUACGCAAGGGAAAGAAACGAUUUUGCACAUACAUUUCUAACGUUACACGUGAUCGCGUUGUGUGUUUAAGAUGAAUAUCUAUAAAGUUGUGGAUUCAAAAGUAUUCCAAACCUAAGGGACAGUUUACAUGGACGAUGUUGAAACAGACACACAAACUGCUAGUAGACAGUGUCAGAUUGAAAUUUUGCUGCCGGACAAGCGAAGACAAGUGCAACAAAGAUUUGGACUAAUUUGUUUUUUCAUCGUGAUUGUCAUGGUGAUUGGAAUAUUAAUAGGAUUUGUUGUUUACCUAGCAACCAAUAGAUAAACUAUGAUACAUUUGGGACCUAUAUAAUCGAAUUAAUCAAAGAUUACGUGAAAAACGACCAAUACCGAAAUAUAUAUAAUAUAUAUAAUUUUACGCAUUGCAAUUAAUACUGACCAAAAGAUUUGUGAAAUCUGCGGACUGAUAUUUAUUCAUUAAUCAUUUAACUCAUUUCGUUAUUCUUCAUAAAUAUAAAUUUUCCGUCCAUAUAUUGGUAUCCGUCUUAUGUAAUUUGGACAAAGUUUUUAUAUUUGGCGGGAAAUGUAACAUAUGGUUUAAAGCGAUCCAAUGAAAUAUAUUUUAUGUUUAGUCACGAUUGUAAACAAAGUGAACUGUAAGUCACCUGCCACGUCUCAAUAUAGUUGAUAUACAUAUAUUGAAUAAGCUCUAACAAUGGCUGACGCUGAUGAAAAGUAUUUGGACGAAUAUGACGAAUAUAAUAUGAAACAGGACAAAAUUUCUGGUCACCACGGGGGCAAAGGACGUACGAAAAAGGAGUCGGAACAGCAUGUGCACCCAGACCCCGCAGGCCAUACCCGAAAAGCCACUCAAAAAUUGAUGAAUAAUUCACAAAACCAAAAAGACACAAAAAAAGAUGGAAAAUAAACGAAGGCCAAAACAAGAUGGAUACAGGACAUCGAUCUCAAGUUAGUUAUGGAAGAUGACAACGAAUUUGGAUUAUGGUGAAUGAUGCAAAAUCAGCACUUUACUGUUAUAAACAGAGACAAUAGUGUAGAUUUGUUGCUCUAUUGGCAACUUUAUUUUGUUAAUAUAUAAUUCCUGUAUAUUAAAUAUUUUUUGUUA